rnacentral:rRNA from 1 species
AGGGAUUAGUGGCGAACGGGUGAGUAACACGUGAGAAAUCUGCCCUUCACUCUGGAAUAACUCCGGGAAACCGGAGCUAAUACCGGAUACUCAAAUCUGGCGGCAUCGCUGGACUUGGAAAGUUUUUCGGUGAAGGAUGAUCUCGCGGCCUAUCAGCUUGUUGGUGAGGUAACGGCUCACCAAGGCUACGACGGGUAACCGGCCUGAGAGGGCGAACGGUCACACUGGGACUGAGACACGGCCCAGACUCC